rnacentral:rRNA from 1 species
GCGACGCCGCGUGAGGGAUGGAGGCCUUCGGGUUGUAAACCUCUUUCGCCAGUGAAGCAGGCCUGUCCCUUUUGUGGGUGGGUUGACGGUAGCUGGAUAAGAAGCGCCGGCUAACUACGUGCCAGCAGCCGCGGUAAUACGUAGGGCGCGAGCGUUGUCCGGAAUUAUUGGGCGUAAAGAGCUCGUAGGCGGCUGGUCGCGUCUGUCGUGAAAUCCUCUGGCUUAACUGGGGGCUUGCGGUGGGUACGGGCCGGCUUGAGUGCGGUAGGGGAGACUGGAACUCCUGGUGUAGCGGUGGAAUGCGCAGAUAUCAGGAAGAACACCGGUGGCGAAGGCGGGUCUCUGGGCCGUUACUGACGCUGAGGAGCGAAAGCGUGGGGAGCGAACAGGAUUAGAUACCCUGGUAGUCCACGCCGUAAACGUUGGGCACUAGGUGUGGGGGGCCUUUUCCGAGUCUUCCGCGCCGUAGCUAACGCAUUAAGUGCCCCGCCUGGGGAGUACGGCCGCAAGGCUAAAACUCAAAGGAAUUGACGGGGGCCCGCACAAGCGGCGGAGCAUGCGGAUUAAUUCGAUGCAACGCGAAGAACCUUACCAAGGCUUGACAUGUGCCGGUCGGCUCCGGAGACGGGGUUUCCUCCCUGUUGGGG